rnacentral:rRNA from 1 species
GACGAACGCUGGCGGCGUGCCUAAUACAUGCAAGUAGAACGCUGAAGGAGGAGCUUGCUUCUCCGGAUGAGUUGCGAACGGGUGAGUAACGCGUAGGUAACCUGCCUGGUAGCGGGGGAUAACUAUUGGAAACGAUAGCUAAUACCGCAUAAGAGUAGAUGUUGCAUGACAUUUGCUUAAAAGGUGCAAUUGCAUCACUACCAGAUGGACCUGCGUUGUAUUAGCUAGUUGGUGGGGUAACGGCUCACCAAGGCGACGAUACAUAGCCGACCUGAGAGGGUGAUCGGCCACACUGGGACUGAGACACGGCCCAGACUCCUACGGGAGGCAGCAGUAGGGAAUCUUCGGCAAUGGACGGAAGUCUGACCGAGCAACGCCGCGUGAGUGAAGAAGGUUUUCGGAUCGUAAAGCUCUGUUGUAAGAGAAGAACGAGUGUGAGAGUGGAAAGUUCACACUGUGAC